UGGCUCAUGCCUGUAAUCCCAGCACUUUGGGAGGCCGAGGCGGGCGGAUCACGAGGUCAGAAGUUCGAGACCAGCCUCACUAACAUGGUGAAACCCUGUCUCUACUAAAAAUACAAAAAUUAGCUGGGCAUGGUGGUGAGCGCCUGUAAUCUGAGCUACUUGGGAGGCUGAGGCAGGAGAAUGGUUUGCACCUGGGAGGUGGAGGUUGCAGUGAGCCGAGAUCGGGCCAUUGCGCUCCAGGUUGGGCAACAGGGUUAGACUCUGUGUCAAAAAAAAAAAA
rnacentral:lncRNA from 10 species